AAUCAACGCUGGCGGCGUGCCUCAGACAUGCAAGUCGAACGAUUAAAGCUCUCUUCGGAGAGUGUAUAGAGUGGCGCACGGGUGAGUAACACGUAAGUAAUCUACCUUUGAGUGGGGAAUAACCCGGGGAAACCCGAGCUAAUACCGCAUAAUGCAGCGGCAUCGCAAGAUGACAGUUGUUAAAGGAGCAAUCCGCUUAAAGAGGAGCUUGCGGCAGAUUAGCUAGUUGGUAAGGUAAUGGCUUACCAAGGCUACGAUCUGUAUCCGGUCUAAGAGGACGGUCGGACACACUGACACUGAAUAACGGGUCAGACUCCUACGGGAGGCAGCAGUCGGGAAUUUUGGGCAAUGGGCGAAGCCUGACCCAGCAACGCCGCGUGAAGGAUGAAGUAUUUCGGUAUGUAAACUU
rnacentral:rRNA from 1 species